GCCAGGCCUGGUGGUGCAUGCCUGUAGUCCCAGCUACUCGGGAGGCUGAGGUGGGAGGAUCGCUUGAGCCCAGGAGUUCUGGGCUGUCAUGCGCUAUGCCGAUCGGGUGUCCGCACUAAGUUUGGCAUCAAUACUGUGACCUCCCGGGAGCGGGGGACCACCAGGUUGCCUAAGGAGGGGUGAACCGGCCCAGGUCAGAAACGAAGCAGGUCAAAACUCCCAUGCUGAUCAGUAGUGGGAUCACGCCUGUGUAUAGCCACAGCACUCCAGCCUGGGCAACAUAGUGAGACCCCGUCUUU
rnacentral:SRP_RNA from 1 species